AAAGCAAAAUAGAUGUUUGGUGGCUAGUGCAGUGGCUGGGACCCUAUAUGUACUGUUGAUGAAGUUAGGUGCUGUUCUGAGCAUUAUUUGCGGCUUUUUGGUUGAGGUUUGUUUAUGGCUCCUCAGACUGCUGUGCAUUGCUAUCCCGCGGUCGUUACUAAAGUUGGUAAAAAUAGAGAAGCAAGCAGUCGGCAACAUUCAUCUCUCGAGGGGGUGUGUAAAACUGGUUUGACGGUGUGUUUGACCUUAAAUUGAUUUUAUGUCCGAAAUCCCUUUAAAGAGUCAACAUUAAACUUUCUGUCUUGUUGAAACUUAUAGUCUGAGCUGGUUCAGGCUAGAGCCAGCUCUUAGUUAGACUCCUGGGGUACUGCCACAUUUAGCAUCCUUCUCUCCUUUAUCCUCUCAUCUGUCUGUGUUAUUAACUUUGAAUCAUCACGUCUCUUUACCUUCACUAAUACACUGUCUUUUCUAAGAGGCCCUGAGCUUUAUCGUGCCAUAGGUUCCUCUGUUCCUCAUACCUUGGACCUGCCUGCUUUCCAGCUGUAUGUAUUGGUGAACCCUCAGCUAGGCUGUACAACAUCCAUGUUGAUGUUAAGUAAAGGCUUCUCAGUGUGGUUCUAAUAGUGUUUCAGUAUAUGCCUGGUUAAUCCUCAAUGCUACCAGUGAGACAUUGUUUAUGUCAGAUAAACAGCACAGAAUAAACUUACACCACUAAGAGUCUGCAGGGUAUUGCUGCAUUGGCUGCAAACCACAAGAAGAUCGUCUGUUAUUUGACACUCCUUGGGUUCCUGGAGAGAAAAGGAAAAUGGAUCGAAGAUGGAUAGCCUGAGGCUCUCCCCCUGUGAACAUGAAAAUGCCGUGCUUGCAGUACAACUACAAGUCAGCAGGAUGUUGAUAUUAUUCUGUUCCUGACAGGCCCAAACAGAACUGUUCUCAUCCACUCUGAAUUUAAUGCUGACAUGCAAACCAGCUGCUGUAAAAUCUCAGAGUCAUCAGACUUUCUUUGGUGUGAGGUGUGAGAGCACUCAGUAACUUUCAGAGCCUCAUAUGCUGUCUGUAUGAAAUAGACGCAGGUGCAAAGACAGACAGAAGCUUUUGACUGUCAAAUGUAAUAUCAUAUUCUAACUGUCUUGGGAUCCAAAUCCAAUACACAGACAGAAUUGGGACGCCAAUACGGCCUCACAUGUGUCAGGAUUACACUGGUUUUAACUUUUUAAGGGGACCAUGGAGUCGUUUUUAUGUGUGAGUGUGUGGAGUCUCCUUUUUUCCCUUACAGAGGUUGGGCGGCUCCUCUUCAGCUGAAGCUCCUCCUGCACCUGAAUAACCUAAUCUCCUCAUUCAACAGUGGUAUUUCAGCCCUACCAGCAAGUAUUUGCAAGUUUUGAGACUUUUCAGUGAAUGUUUAGCCUUGUAUUAACCCCUGCUGUCUUCCUUUCUCUUCCAGCACCUGUCCAACCUCUGUCACGACUGACACACGAAAGACCCACUCACCUGUUGUCUCCUCCAACCCACACACUCCUUGGACCCCAGACCUCUCACCAUC